GAUGAACGCGGCGGCGUGCCUAAUACAUGCAAGUAGAACGCUGAAGCUUGGUGCUUGCACCGAGCGGAAGAGUUGCGAACGGGUGAGUAACGCGUAGGUAACCUGCCUCUUAGCGGGGGAUAACUAUUGGAAACGAUAGCUAAUACCGCAUAAAAGUCGGCAUUGCAUGAUGUUGACUUGAAAGGUGCAACUGCAUCACUAAGAGAUGGACCUGCGUUGUAUUAGCUAGUUGGUGAGGUAACGGCUCACCAAGGCGACGAUACAUAGCCGACCUGAGAGGGUGAUCGGCCACACUGGGACUGAGACACGGCCCAGACUCCUACGGGAGGCAGCAGUAGGGAAUCUUCGGCAAUGGACGGAAGUCUGACCGAGCAACGCCGCGUGAGUGAAGAAGGUUUUCGGAUCGUAAAGCUCUGUUGUAAGAGAAGAACGAGUGUGAGAGUGGAAAGUUCACACUGUGACGGUAACUUACCAGAAAGGGACGGCUAACUACGUGCCAGCAGCCGCGGUAAUACGUAGGUCCCGAGCGUUAUCCGGAUUUAUUGGGCGUAAAGCGAGCGCAGGCGGUUAGAUAAGUCUGAAGUUAAAGGCUGUGGCUUAACCAUAGUACGCUUUGGAAACUGUUUAACUUGAGUGCAGAAGGGGAGAGUGGAAUUCCAUGUGUAGCGGUGAAAUGCGUAGAUAUAUGGAGGAACACCGGUGGCGAAAGCGGCUCUCUGGUCUGUAACUGACGCUGAGGCUCGAAAGCGUGGGGAGCAAACAGG
rnacentral:rRNA from 1 species